GCUUCGCUUCUUCCCGCCGGCCGCGGGGGGCGCGCACGCAAAGGCGCGCGAGGAGGAGGGGUGGUGACGUCACAGCCCGAGAAUGAUUGAAAGCCUUGCAGGAACUGCUCGAGUUCGGAUUUGCCGAGAGAGAGAGAGGUUUUCUUCUUCUUUUCCCCCCCUUCUUCCCCGCCCACUCCGGGUGACGUCAGGCUUCGGUGGGAACCGGUUCGAGAGGAGGUGCCUUCUUUUUUUAUUAUUGGUUCUCCGCCCCGCCCACUCUCGGUGACGUCACGCUCCGAUGUAAACCAGGUUUCUUCCUUUCUUCAUUCCGUCUGAGGAGAGGGAAGAGAGAAGCUCUUUGGAGUACGGAGCCACCUUGGCAACCUUUCACCGGCACACCAUGACCCAGAUUUCCUCAUGCGUCCUCUGGGUCAUCACUCCAACAAUGAAGUCAAACAACCAUAAUCUCCAGGAUCAAUAGAACUAGAUUACCGGACCCUGAAUUGGGCCAAGCUUCUUUUGUGCCAGCCACAUGGACAAAGGACUCACGAUCACCCAUGCAUUUUUCCUGGAAUUUGAGGAAGCUCUGCUACUGUUCUUCCUUAUUGCCAUACCUCUUUCGUAAGGAUGGAUCAUCUAGUCCCAUCACCCUGGACAAUAUACCAAGAUGAAACACAAUGGACACUAGUGCCAUGGGCAUUAGACUCACAGGACCAUUACACAGACAAUAAAACCCAUGGGAUCUGAGGGCCGGCUCCUCUUUAUCUCAAGAUUGAGACAUGGUAAUUCAUUUACAAAACUUUUGUUCCACUGGUCACCCGUCUCCCUGUUGGGAGAGCAGGAAUCUGCAUUGGAAGUGGGGAAAACUCUGAUUGGCUGCUGGAGGCUGCCGCCCACAUGGAGGGAACCCUCCCAUUUGUCUGGGACAUCAAAGCCGGCUCCGCCAAUCAGCAUGAAGCCAGCCCUUGCUGGGUGGGUACACAAAAAACAAAAGACUGCACUGUAUAAAAAAUGUACUAUAUGUGUUAUGCUUGCAAAACAUGUCAGCUUCUUUAAGCGGCUUACCGCUGGCUGUCAUCCUUUCUGGCAGGAUCAAAUAAAUUUCUUGGUGGCUUCUUCAA